AGGGUCGGACGGUAUAUUUGAUCGAUAAAUCCGCGGUCACACUGAUCUCAAUUGCGGAACAUAAGGCCGUUUUGAAGCCCAACUGUGGCCCACAACUCCGCCCUGCCUCAGCCAGACCACCAGAUCGGCCAGGUGGAUCUUAGCCGACCAGAUCUUAGCCCGAAUCUGAAGAAAACCAAGCUGGAUGAGGCCUCGACGGCGGGGUUGAUGCAAGCACAUAAACGGAUCAGGGCGUGGUGUCUAUGAUGAGCUUCCAUCUGCGUCGCAAAAAGGGACUGGAACAAACCCUGGCGGCCAAGCUUACACCAAAGGCGUACGUCAAGGAGACUCAUGCCGUGCCCGGGCUGCCGGAGCUGCUGGAUCCUGCAUUCCCAACAAGACACGUCUGGACAGAUUAUGCGCCACUACGGCAGUGCAAGGGCAUCCGCCAGUUGCAGGCUUUGUACGUGUCCCACCUGCACGCGGAUCAUCACAUUGGAUUGAUUGGACUGCUGAAGGAGCGCAGAUAGCUGGCCCCGAAGGAAACUCGCUGCUCUUACUUGCGCCGCGGCAGAUCGAGCCAUGGAUGGAGUUCUAACAAGGAUAGCUCUUGGCGAGACUCCUGACUGGAGAGGCAGUGGCACCAUUGGGCAUAACUGCCGCCACUGCCAAGUCACCAGUAGGAACUGCCAAGCCGCCAGUGCGAACAGCUGCUUAAAAUCUUGCGAGACGCUUGGCGAUGCUGUGGAUGAUCGAGUUCAGCCCAACAAUCAACCUUUGCGGAAUGAGAGGAGCAGCAGCAAGGCAAGAAGGAUUUGUACUAAAACCAGGACAGUUCGGCUAACUCGUCGCAGUCCUCGGUGGGCAUUGAUGACUAUUGGGAUGAGGCUCUGGUCGGCGACUAUGGAAGCACUCAGAAUGAUGACAGCGAUGACUUGGAUGGUCACAACAACUAGCCACCUAUCGAUGGGCAGCAAGGAAAAGAACCCGGCCGUAACGAGUUGCGUUACUAUUGGCGAUCAAGAGAUCAUAGACUGCAAAGAACAAUUCGACAAGCAGCGGCAGGCAACAUUACUUGGGCCGAGCAGGGCAGUAAAUGUAAAAGUUGUUCUGCACUAUCUUAAAAGCGUGCUCCGGCGGUCUUAAGCCUUCUGCACCAUGUUUUACAUCAUCGGUUUCGACCGGGAGCGCAGACAACUGGCUCCAAAGGAAACUCGCUGCUCAUACUUGCACCGCGGCAGAUUGAGCCAUGGAUGGAGUUCUAACACGGAUAGCUCUUGGCGAGACUCCUGACUGGAGAGGCAGUAACUUUGGGCAUAACUGCCGCCACUACCAAGUCACCAGUACGAACUGCCAAGCCGCCAGUACGAACAGCUGCUUAAAAUCUUGCGAGGCGUUUGGCGAUGCUGUGGAUGAUCGAGUUCAGCCCAACAAUCAACCGUUGCGGAAUGAGAGGAGCAGCAGCAAGGCAAGAAGGAUGCCGAUCAGGAUUUUUACUAAAACCAGGAGAGUUCGGCUAACUCGUCGCAGUCCUCGGUGGGCAUUGAUGACUAUUGGGAUGAAGCUCUGGUUGGCGACUAUGGAAGCACUCAGAAUGAUGACAGCGAUGACUUGGACGGGCACAACAACUAGCCACCUAUCGAUGGGCAGCAAGGAAAAGAACCCGGCCGCAACGAGUUGCGUUACUAUUGGCGAUCAUGAGGUCAUGGACUGCAAAGAACAAUUCGACAAGCAGCAACAUUACUUGGGCCGAGCAGGGCAGUAAAUGUAAAAGUUGUACAGCACUAUCUUUAAAGCGUGCUCCGGCGGUCUUAAGCCUUCUGCACCAUGUUUUACAUCAUCGGUUUCGACCGGGAGCGCAGACAGCUGGCCCCGAAGGAAACUCGCUGCUCUUACUUGCGCCGCGGCAGAUCGAGCCAUGGAUGGAGUUCUAACACGGAUAGCUCUUGGCGAGACUCCUGACUGCAGAGGCAGUGGCACCAUUGGGCGUAACUGCCGCCACUGCCAAGUCACCAGUAGGAACUGCGAAGCCGCCAGUACGAACAGCUGCUUAAAAUCUUGCGAGACGCUUGGCGAUGCUGUGGAUGAUCAAGUUCAGCCCAACAAUCAACAGUUGCGGAAUGAGAGGAGCAGCAACAGGACAAGAAGGAUGCCGAUCAGGAUUUCUACUAAAACCAGGACAGUUCGGCUAACUCGUCGCAGUCCUCGGUGGGCAUUGAUGACUAUUGGGAUGAAGCUCUGGUCGGCGACUAUGGAAGCACUCAGAAUGAUGACAGCGAUGACUUGGACGGGCACAACAACUAGCCACCUAUCGAUGGGCAGCAAGGAGAAGAACCCGGCCGCAACGAGUUGCGUUACUAUUGGCGAUCAUGAGGUCAUGGACUGCAAAGAACAAUUCGACAAGCAGCAACAUUACUUGGGCCGAGCAGGGCAGUAAAUGUGAAAGUUGUACAGCACUAUCUUAAAAGCGUGCUCCGGCGGUCUUAAGCCUUCUGCACCAUGUUUUACAUCAUCGGUUUCGACCGGAUCCAGUGGCCUAAAAAGUGCUAUAGAGCGAUCCUCUCUUACCCCACCAGGAGGUCACCCCCUCCGGUGGCCAUGAAUACCUUUUGCAUGACCGCGAAUACCGAAUUACCCACCAUCGUUUAACUGGGGCUUCACACUUCAGGUCCUCCGGUUUAGCUGAACGAGUGGGCGCUCGAUGGCGGCUGUCCACUCCAGGCGCCUACCGGCUGACAUCGCGAGCUCCCCACCGGCUCUUGGGACAUGACUUACAUCGCGCGAGCUGUGGCCUCUAGCCUGGACGACCUUUGGGUCCUCUCGGGAUGUGUAAGGGAUGUGCUCCUGGCUGGACUGUGGCAGGCACUGUCUGUCCUCCUGCGGGCCAAAGCCAUGAUGCCACUACUGUGUCGCUGAAUCGACAAUGUGGCGUCCCGUCCGCUGCAGCAGGGACCACUGAUCGACUUCAGAAUUGUGGGUUCACGCCCACGGUAAUCAAACGCUGGUCUUCAGCCUCGAGGCGCAGGGCUUAUGUACCAUAUCCAAGCAUUGCCGAAUCGUAUCCCAGCAGGACAAAAGCGCACCCCUUGGAAGAGCCCAAAUCUAACAAGCCGACGUCACAUUUCGACCUGGCCAUUGAAAACUAUCUCAAGGACUUUGGCUAUGGCAACCAAGGGAGGGAUACGCGGACUACCAGACUAUAGAUAGAUCUCGUUGUUAAUAGGUUUAAGGAUACACACGUCUGUACAUUUAGAUAGUAGAUAUAAAUAUUUCCAAAUUGUUAAUUUCUUUAUAGUAAGUUAACGUUAUUAUGAAUAAAACUAUUGAAAAAUUA
rnacentral:sRNA from 1 species